GGAUGGGCCUUUGGCACCCUAGGGACUGCUUUAGAAACUAGAAUUCCAGCCCUUGAAAUCCAGAGUUCCAUAGUUUGAAAUCUCCUCCCUUGGGUCCCUCUCCUAAAGCUCAUUUCUUUGGAAGUUCUUCCCAGCUCUGUGGCCACCUCUUGUUGACUGGAAGCUUGUCUCCCAUCACAUCUCCACAUGGGUCUGCACGCUCAGAAGAGAGGCAUUAUGCAUCUUUUCCUCAAGACCUGAGCUGAAAUGUCCACAAUAGCCAAACUGUGGAAGGAGCCUCGGUGUCCAUCGAAAGAUGAAUGGAUAAAGAAGAUGUGGUUUAUGUAUACAA